rnacentral:lncRNA from 1 species
GUCAAGAUGAAAAACUUCAUCUAAUGGAAUCCAGCUUGAAAGCAACUCAAGAGCAGCUAACUGAGCAAAGAGCAGCAAUAGUUCGUCAAGAACAGAACAGCACAAAAUCACAGGCAGAGCUGAAGACAGUGAGAGAACGUAUUAUUGCUUCUGCAGAAGAAAUUAAUGAUUACAACUCAAAGGUUGAAUUUAUGAAAAAUAUUAAUGAAAUUAUGGGAGGACAGAGCCAACUUAAGAAUGGGGUGCAUUGGAUACCUUACCUCUAUAGAAAAUACAAUUCAGAAGUCAAAAUCAGAAAACAAAAACAUUUAGCGCAAGAUAAUUUCAUAGAGAGAACAGAUAAGGUGGCAUAGCUGAGAAUUUGUUCUUUCUUCAGAUCAUUGGAAGAAAAGCAAGGUCAUCAAAGAAAAUACCUACAUUUAGAACAUGGGAAACUGGAAAAAUUGUACUGUUACUUGAAGAAAUAAUUAAGUAAGAAUGAACACCAAGUUUUGGAGUAAAGACAGCAAGUAAAUUUGUAUAUGUUGGUUUUUAGUUGCUGAUGGGUCAUCUUGGCAGGGAUAACCUUGACACAGAGCAACUUCAGUAAAAUCUUGAGGUUACCUAUAUUGUUAGGCUAAGACUGGUAAAUAUCCUUAAUUUUAUGUAUGACUUGGUUAUAUCAUAUAUAAUUUGUAUUAGUCAUUUUAAAGAUCUUUUCUCAUUUUUAGCUUAUAAUACUUGUUCAUUUUAG